GCGAGGGGAGCUUGGCAAGGUUGAGCAGUAGAUUGUGAAUCUAAAGGACGUGGGUUCGAAUCCYAUUCUUCGCC
rnacentral:tRNA from 1 species